AAUAGAUACCCGGGUAGUCCACGCCGUAAACGAUGAGUGCUAAGUGUUAGAGGGUUUCCGCCCUUUAGUGCUGCAGCUAACGCAUUAAGCACUCCGCCUGGGGAGUACGGUCGCAAGACUGAAACUCAAAGGAAUUGACGGGGGCCCGCACAAGCGGUGGAGCAUGUGGUUUAAUUCGAAGCAACGCGAAGAACCUUACCAGGUCUUGACAUCCCACUGACCGGUAUAGAGAUAUACCUUUCCCUUCGGGGACAGUGGUGACAGGUGGUGCAUAGUUGUCGUCAGCUCGUGUCGUGAGAUGUUGGGUUAAGUCCCGCAACGAGCGCAACCCUUGAUCUUAGUUGCCAGCAUUUAGUUGGGCACUCUAAGGUGACUGCCGGUGACAAACCGGAGGAAGGUGGGGAUGACGUCAAAUCAUCAUGCCCCUUAUGACCUGGGCUACACACGUGCUACAAUGGAUGGUACAAAGGGCUGCAAGACUGCGAAGUCAAGCCAAUCCCAUAAAACCAUUCUCAGUUCGGAUUGCAGG
rnacentral:rRNA from 1 species